UACGUAGGGGGCAAGCGUUGUCCGGAUUUAUUGGGCGUAAAGAGCGUGUAGGCGGCUAGGUAGGUCCGUUGUGAAAACUCGAGGCUCAACCUCGAGACGCCGGUGGAAACCAUCUAGCUAGAGUCCGGAAGAGGAGAGUGGAAUUCCUGGUGUAGCGGUGAAAUGCGCAGAUAUCAGGAGGAACACCGAUUGCGAAGGCAGCUCGCUGGGACGUCACUGACGCUGAGAACGCGAAAAGCGUGGGGGAGCAAAACAGG
rnacentral:rRNA from 1 species